rnacentral:rRNA from 1 species
AUUGAACGCUGGCGGCAGGCCUAACACAUGCAAGUCGAGCGAGCGGCGGACGGGUGAGUAAUGUCUAGGAAACUGCCUGAUGGAGGGGGACAACUACUGGAAACGGUAGCUAAUACCUCUUCCCAUCAGAUGUCCCCAGAUGGGAUUAGCUAGUUGGUGGGGUAACGGCUCACCUAGGCGACGAUCCUUAGCUGGUCUGAGAGGAUGACCAGCCACACUGGAAUUGAGACACGGUCCAAACUCCAACGGGAGGCAGCAGUGGGGAAUAUUGCACAAUGGGCGCAAGCCUGAUGCAGCCAUGCCGCGUGUGUGAAGAAGGCCUUCGGGUUGUAAAGCACGUUCAGCGGGGAGGCGUUACCCGAAGAAGAAGCACCGGCUAACUCCGUGCCAGCAGCCGCGGUAAUUC